rnacentral:tRNA from 1 species
GUAAAUAGUGGUAAAACUACGGUUUCGGCCUCUCACGCCGGAAACCGGGGUUCAAGCCCCCGUGGGACUACCA